AUUGAACGCUGGCGGCAUGCUUUACACAUGCAAGUCGAACGGUAACAGGCCGCAAGGUGCUGACGAGUGGCGAACGGGUGAGUAAUGCAUCGGAACGUGCCCAGUCGUGGGGGAUAACGCAGCGAAAGCUGUGCUAAUAUCGCAUACGAUCUGCGGAUGAAAGCGGGGGACCGAAAGGCCUCGCGCGAUUGGAGCGGCCGAUGUCAGAUUAGGUAGUUGGUGGGGUAAAGGCUCACCAAGCCAACGAUCUGUAGCUGGUCUGAGAGGACGAACAGCCACACUGGACUGAGACACGGCCCAGACUCCUACGGGAGGCAGCAGUGGGGAAUUUUGGACAAUGGGCGCAAGCCUGAUCCAGCAAUGCCGCGUGCAGGAAGAAGGCCUUCGGGUUGUAAACUGCUUUUGUACGGAGCGAAAAGGCUCUCUCUAAUACAGGGGGCUCAUGACGGUACCGUAAGAAUAAGCACCGGCUAACUACGUGCCAGCCGCCGCAGUAAUAC
rnacentral:rRNA from 1 species